AAUCAACGCUGGCGGCGUGCCUAACACAUGCAAGUCGAGCGAGAAAAGGGGGGCAACUCCCUGAGUAAAGCGGCGCACGGGUGAGUAACACGUGGGUAAUCUGCCCUGGAGUGGGGAAUAACACCGGGAAACCGGUGCUAAUACCGCGUACGAUAGCGAGGUCUUCGGACUUUGUUAUGAAAGGAGCAAUUCGCUCCAGGAGGAGCCCGCGGCUGAUUAGCUAGUUGGUGAGGUAACGGCUCACCAAGGCAACGAUCAGUAUCCGGUCUGCGAGGACGGGCGGACACACUGGAACUGAGACACGGUCCAGACUCCUACGGGAGGCAGCAGUGGGGAAUUUUUGGCAAUGGGGGCAACCCUGACCAAGCAACGCCGCGUGGGUGAUGAAGUCUCUUGGGACGUAAAACCCUUUCGACAGGGACGAAAGCCGCAAGGUUUGACGGUACCUGUAGAAGAAGCCCCGGCUAACUCCGUGCCAGCCGCCGCCGUAAGAC
rnacentral:rRNA from 1 species